CGGAUACGGGGCGGGAGACGAGACAACGAACGUUUGCUCUCUUGGUGUUUGUCUUCUUUUGAACUGAGCGCGGUCGGCUCAGCCGGCGCCAUCUCGCCAACGGUCGUUGGCGGCUCCGUCUCCUCUCAGCCCCUGCAAGAAACUGCUCUCGAGCCCCCAUCGGACCCGACCGGCUCUGGCGUCUCGCCUCCACCGCUGAGACCCAAAAGGAUGAGCGACAGAAAAUC
rnacentral:lncRNA from 1 species